rnacentral:rRNA from 1 species
CCUACGGGAGGCAGCAGUGGGGAAUAUUGCACAAUGGGCGAAAGCCUGAUGCAGCGACGCCGCGUGAGCGAAGAAGUAUUUCGGUAUGUAAAGCUCUAUCAGCAGGGAAGAUAAUGACGGUACCUACUAGAGCCCCGAUCCCCUGACUAAGAAGCACCGGCUAAAUACGUGCCAGCAGCCGCGGUAAU